rnacentral:lncRNA from 1 species
GUAAGCCGACAUUAUUUGGGAUUGCUGUUUCCAAGGGGAAAAACCAAUAGUGUGUUUCUUCCAUUCAUGGAAGGAAAUAUGAUUUUAAUUUGUAUGACUGGCAACCAAACAAUGGGCAGCCUCCCAGUUCUUCAGUCCCUGAAGGACAGAAAAAGGAACGACUUGCAACAUCUUCCAACUCUGAAGUCAGUUUCUCCUCCUGAGUCUUCUAAAGCUACCAUUAAUAUUCUCUUGCAAGUUUUAGGUUACUAAGUACCAUUUCAGUAAUGCCUUUUGUAUCUUUAUAAAUUUUGACACAGGGUCACAAGGUGAACAGAAAAUAAAUACAUAAAAAACCUCCAUCAGAUCCUCAAUUCUUCUGAAGGCCAGCAACUACAAUGAUUGCCAUCACAGGGACACACAUGCACCACAGACCAGCCAGCUCCCUGGGUACCAGAGGGCUUGGGUAUUUACACCUGAGACUAAAUUUACAACAGCAUGUUUG